ACCUUGGAGCCGCCAUAUUUAACUAGGGGAAAGCCUAAAAGCUGUUGUGUUGUUGGCUGCACAGCCAAUGCAAACAAGAACCCAGCAUUAAAGUUUCAUAUGUUGCCAUUAGGUGGGAAAAGACGUUUGCAGUGGCUGAGAGCCAUAAAUAGAAGUGAAAUCAAGUCUGAUGGAUCUGUGAACCAUGAGAAGCUCUGGGAGCCUAACUCUAACUAUACUUAUGUUUGUGGGCAACACUUUAUAAGUGGAGAAAAAGUGAAUGAUCAUACACAUCCUGAUUAUGUGCCCUCAAUCUUUCCAACUUGUGGAUCCAGCCAAAGUCAAAGUAAAUCUGCAAUGAAGCUGUCCAGGUUUGAAAGGAAGUCACAGCGAGUAACAGAAAGGUUACAAUGGUGCAACCCCUCCAAGGAAGCGUUUGAAAUCUGACCAGGUUAUUGUAUCACCCAGCCAAACACCAAGCCAGCCUUCUCAUAAUCUCCCAGAUGAUUCUAUAAAUAAUGCCUCUGACCUUCCUUUGGAAGUGCUUCCUUCACCCAAGGUUGCCAACAAUGCAGAUCCUCCACAUGUGGAUCCUGAUGCUUCUUUGUCAAGUCCGAUCCAGAAGCCACUUUCAGUGUCUGAACAUGAACAGAUGUACACAGAGAUUCACAACUUGCGCAAAGAAAGGGAUGAAGCCCUUGCAAAGGUAUCUGCUAUGGAGAUGUUGAUGCAGGAAAAAACAUUGUCAUCAAAAUCUGUUGAGGGAAAUGAUCAGAAGUGUCAGAUGAUGACAGGUUUGAAAUGGGGUGUAUUUUUACACUAAUUCACAUUUCUGAGUACAUUCAUUGGUAGCAAAGGAACAAUUAAGGAAAGCCUGCCUCUCCGUGAGCAGUUGUUUUUCACACUUGUG